rnacentral:rRNA from 1 species
CCNNACAAGCGGUCGAGCAUGUGGUUUAAUUCGAAGCAACGCGCGAACCUUACCAACCCUUGACAUCGGGAUCUCGGACAUCAGAGACGAAGUCCUUCAGUUCGGGCUGGAUCGGAGACAGGUGCUGCAUGACUGUCGUCGGCUCGUGUCGCGAGAUGUUGGGCAAAGUCCCGCAACGAGCGCAACCCUCGCCUUUAGUUGCCAUCAUUUACUUGGGCACUCUAAAGGGACUGCCGGUGAUAAGCCGGAGGAAGGUGGGGAUGACGUCAAGUCCUCAUGGCCUUACGGGUUGGGCUACACACGUGCGACAAUGGCGGUGACAAUGGGCAGCAACUUCGCAAGGAGAAGCUAAUCCCAAGAAGCCGUCUCAGUUCA